rnacentral:rRNA from 1 species
GACGUAGGGCGCGAGCGUUGUCCGGAUUUAUUGGGCGUAAAGAGCUCGUAGGCGGUUCAGUAAGUCGGGUGUGAAAACUCUGGCUCAACCCAGAGACGCCACCCGAUACUGCUGUGACUUGAGUACGGUAGGGAGUGGGGAAUUCCUGGUGUAGCGGUGAAAUGCGCAGAUAUCAGGAGGAACACCAGUGGCGAAGGCGCCACUCUGGGCCGUAACUGACGCUGAGGAGCGAAAGCGUGGUAGCAAACAGG